CACAAACCCAAGAAAGCAAGUUUUGAAUCUGUUCUCAUUUGUAGAAUAAGUAGAUUGUUUGUAAACUUCAAACCUCUGAGUUGCUUUUCUGGAAUGAAGAAAUCAGUGAACUCUUUCUUUCCUUCACUGUGGUCACUUGGUACCUAAAAAGUGUUCACUUGCACAAAAAAUAUUUCCUGGUAUUGAGGAGCCUGUGCAAGGAAAAUCACAAUGAGUCUAACAGGGAAAGUCCAAAAUGGUUUUUCAGUUGUUUUUGUUUUGUUUUGUUUUGUUUUUCAGGUCUUUCAGGAGGGGAAAAUCCCCUCCCUUUCCAACUGCUCUUCUAACAACUGCUUCCCUGUAACCUCAGGGUCCAGUGACCCUCCAAGGGUCAGAAGCAGCGUCUGGGUGGCAGCGGAGGUUUCCAGCGACUUUGUUCCAAAAGCAUUGAUCUGAGGAAAGGAUGAGAAUCUCAGGACAAAGGCCCUUGCAAAUGCAGCUUCAAGAUUUCACCCAGAGCUUCUUGGAAAGAGAUACGAAUGGUGCUCAUUUCCUUUCCCCACCACACCCCCCACCCCAUUUCCUGUCCCUCCUUCAGAAAUAUGCAAUAUCCCACUGGAGCUUGUCACACAGGAUCCCAGCACAGAGCAACAGAUACUGCUGCAUUUGCAUAAGCACACACAGGAGAAAAAGCUUGCUGUUCCAGACUGUCUGCAAAAGCAAACUGUCGCUUUAAGAAAGGGGUCAGCAUGACUCCCUGGUGCGUCCCUUCCUGGGACAAAAAUCAUUGCUCCUACCUGUGGGCUAUCUUGGUUUACUUUACAACAGCGGGUCUCAAAGAGUAUUCCAGAACUCUUGAGGGUCCUAAGAUCCUUUCCGAGGGUCUGCUAGCUCAAAACUAUUUUCAUAAUAAUGCUGUGGUAUAAUUUGCCUUUUCUACUUUCAUUCUCUCCUGAGCCUACAGUGGAGCUUCUAGUGCCUAUGUGAUACUGACGACUGACGACUGACGUCACAGCAGAUUGGAUGCAAAUGCACAUGAGAGCCCAGCACUCUCUUGUUAAGCCCAACAUCUAUGGUAUCCAGCCAUAUGGACUACUGUAUUCUGUGAUAUAACAGCCCAAGUGGACCAAGACGCUAUGUAACCCGUUACUGAAGUUGGAGACUGUGCUGGUUCUCAUACGCUGACGAAGUAAUUCUUCGGUUCAUUUCCAUCUUCUAGAUAAGAGCAGUUGAAGAAGUGAAGUCACCUACAUGUCCAAGACCUCUCUCAGUAAGACUCAGGAGUCAAACCCUGGUGUAUCUGGCUUCGCCUUCACUCUCUCUCCUAGUUCAGGGCUGAUCCGGCAGAGCCUCCCUGGCAAAACAGGCAUUUUGCAGUUAAAUAUUCACACCAGAAAAGGCAAUUAGUUGUGUUGACCCUUGAAAGUCAUGGGUUUUUAUUAACCCCUGAACUCAGUCCAGAAUUUUCAACAAUUCUCCGCUCAGUAAUAGUAGGACCUCAAAGAGAUGUUUUGUUUCCUUCAUCUUUUUGGGAGGCUAUUCCCAGAUGGUAUCAGAGAGAAAAUUUUACAAAGAUAUUCUCUCAGAGAGGUGUAGAAAUUACAGAUGGAGUAAAAAGUUUGGGGUGACAGAUGGCUUAGAGCCGGAGUUUGGAAAACCCCAGGCUGUGGGCCAAAUCUGGUCUUUGUAUGGCCUACAAAUUAAAAAUGGUUUUUAGGAAUGCCUGGGUAGCUCAGUCAGUUGAGCGUCUGACUUAGG